AAACCUGGUUGACGCCACAAUCGCAGCGUUGCCAUGUUAAGAAUCAACAACCAAAUUUUUGCAUCGAAUUCAAUUUCCACAGCUUGCAAAUCUAAGGAAACGCAGAGGUUGAUGCCCAUUGCCAUCUUCUCUCACUGCCCAAACCUCCUCAGCGACACUUUAUGUAUGUGAUUUUUGAAGGCUUGAGAGAAUGUGAAGAGGUUGCUACCUCCUUGAAUGAAAGGGAUCUUGAAUACCUUGAAGCUGCCUGUUUGCUUCACAGUGUUGGGCCUUUCAUGGGAAAAAAGGGUUACCAUAAGCAGACUUAUCGAAUAAUCAUGGAUGGUGGUCAUCUUCAUGGUUAUAGUACUGAGGAGGUCAGG